rnacentral:rRNA from 1 species
UACGUAGGGCGCAAGCGUUGUCCGGAAUUAUUGGGCGUAAAGAGCUCGUAGGCGGUGAAUCGGGUUGAAAGUGAAAGUCGCCAAAAAGUGGCGGAAUGCUCUCGAAACCAAUUCACUUGAGUGAGACAGAGGAGAGUGGAAUUUCGUGUGUAGGGGUGAAAUCCGUAAAUAUACGAAGGAACGCCAAAAGCGAAGGCAGCUCUCUGGGUCCCUACCGACGCUGGGGUGCGAAAGCAUGGGGAGCGAACAGG